rnacentral:lncRNA from 1 species
UUCUGCCAGAUGGAUGUACUUCCAGGCGAGGUCGCUCAGUUCUGACCCUGAGUCACCAAAAGAGCCCAUGAACAAACCAGCCAGGACACCAUGGAGGAGAAGACCAAGGAAAUACCUCUUGGCCACCCAGCAAGUGAGAGGCAGGCUCAGGCAAGCUCAGCAGCAUCUUGACCCAUCACUGCACUCUGCUUUUGGAGACUUUGAUAAGGCCCUGGGGAUUGAAACCAGGAUUCAGGACAGCAGACAGCUGGCACCUCCACCCGACUCUCCUUUAGCAGAGAUCUCUCGCCAACCACAAGUUCUCUGCCCUGCCGAUUUUAAACAUAACCUCAGAGUCACUCCCAAGAAAGCCAUAUUAAUCAACGAGAACUGAAAUUCUAAAUCAGAAACAUUUCCCACAUUUGCCAGAAGCAAAGCAUGGGACAGAGUUCUCCAAUAGGGAAGUGGUGAAAACGGUUGCUGCAGCCCUUGUGAGGCCCGUGUGCACUGCCCUUGGACCCUCAGUGCACACUUGCAGGGCAUCCAGCUGCAACCUGAGAGUCUUCUGCAGCGAAGGGACACGGUUUUCUGUUUCCAUACAACUGGCUAGAAAUGCUGAGGAGUUGACAGUAAGUAGCUGAAUGUUGGUGGGUGAAAACCCCUGAUGGGGGAUGUUCUUCUGUAUAUAUACUUCUCUUAUUGGUUGAUGACUAAAACACUGAGUGUCCAGUAGCCAGGCAGGAAGGAUAGGCAGGGUUACCAGAUGAGGAGUAUGCUGGGGAGAGGAGCCAGAGGACCCGGGAGAGAUGCCAUGCUGCCCACGGAGUAACAUGCUAGAUUAUGGGUAAGCCACAGCCUUGUGGCAACACAUAGAUUAAUUGAAAUGGGUUAAUAAUUAAGACAGAGUUAGCCAAUAAGAAGCCUAAGCCAUCAGCCAACAAUUUAAUAAUUAAUAUGUCUCUGUGUGCUGGGGCUAAAGGAUGGUGGGACCUGGCAGUACAGAAACUUUCCUCUGCAUACCCCAGCUUCCUCAUCCCUUAGACAUCAGCUGUUCACUGGAACUCCAGGAUGAAGUGUGCACCAGCCACUUGACAAUGAAGUUUUGUCUGGUCUUUUCUCUGCCUUACUUCUCUACUUCCCUCUUGUUUUCUGCGGAUCUUCUACCUAACUCCUCACACACGGAGCUCCAGGGUCAACUUCUGGGAGAACCCAAACUAAGUUACCUGUGUAGUAGUAACAUUUUCUCAUAGCUGUGUCCAAUUCCUGAUCAGGAAAACCUUACUGGAAGAAGGAAUGCUUUCGGCCCACACUUUGAGUGGAUCCAGUUCAUCAUGGCAGAGCAGGCAUGGGAGCAAACAGCUCUGUGGUGGCAGGAGCUUGCUCACAGGCUUCCUCACCUCACCUCAGCUCUAUGGAGCAGGUAGCAGAGAUGGGGCAAGAAACAUCACUGGGGCAGUAAACCUGACGGCCUAUCUCUCUGAGGCACGCCUCACUGUCCAGAGCCACCACAGCCUCCCCAGACAGUGCCAGCAGAUGGGGAGCAAGUGUUGAAAUCCAUGAGCCUAUAGGAAGAUUUUGUGUUCAAACCAUAACAGACUCGAUAUUCUCUAGGCAUGCCUGUUGAGAGUGUGUGCUUCUGUAGGAGGUGUGAGGAGAGGCCAGUGAUGCAGGAGGGUGAGAACUAGAUGGCCUGACACAAAGUAACGAAGACAGAGGAAGUGGUUUCUUCAAGAAGGUGGUUCUGUUGGAGUCACAGGAACAUGAAGAAGCAGUUGAAGAGCAGAGAGGAAAAUGCAGAGGGAAGGACAUCCAAGCUGCUAAAUCAUAACCACCUGGGAAACUGCAAAUCAGAUUGACUCAGACAUCCCUCAUCUGUAAGGGCUUCUUUAUGCUAUGCUCUUUAUUCUAGGAGAAUCUGCAUAUCUCCUGGCUUUCUGACAGAUGUAUGCAGUAUCUUGGAAAAAAUAUUAAUAAAGAACCCGCUAUUCAAAGCCUUGAGUUCCGA